rnacentral:rRNA from 1 species
CAGUCGUACCGGCGGAUAAUCAGCCUUUCGGGUGCGAUUCUGUGGGGCGUGAGGAGUUUAACCGCCUUCAUGUUUUGCAUAUUCGUGCACAUUUGGUGUACUUGUCCGUGUGGUGGGUUAACAUCAAUUUCGGUCGUCAUAAAAUGAUUGGAGGAAUGUAGCUUCGAUCCUGUAUUGAAGUGUUAUAGCCUUCGGUAGAUGUGAUGGACUGAGAUUGAGGAUUGCAACGGAUACCCUUCGGGGCUACUCGUCUGAUCUCUGAAGGUUGCUCCGGUGCCGAAAGCGUGCUUACGGUCA